rnacentral:rRNA from 1 species
UACAGAGGUCCCAAGCGUUGUUCGGAUUCAUUGGGCGUAAAGGGUGCGUAGGCGGCGCCGUAAGUCGGGUGUGAAAUUUCGGAGCUUAACUCCGAAACUGCAUUCGAUACUGCGGUGCUUGAGGACUGGAGAGGAGACUGGAAUUCAUGGUGUAGCAGUGAAAUGCGUAGAGAUCAUGAGGAAGACCAGUGGCGAAGGCGGGUCUCUGGACAGUUCCUGACGCUGAGGCACGAAGGCCAGGGGAGCAAACGGG